rnacentral:lncRNA from 1 species
GGUUUCUACCUCGGGUGGCUAGUGUUGGCUUGUGAUGUUUUCAGCGGGAUACAGGAGCGCAGAAGCAGAGUUUAAGGGGUGAUGCUGAGCCCAGUUUGGAUAUGCAAUGUGUGGUACCUGUGCAGCCUCCUGGUGGAGCUGCCCUGUAAAUGUCUGGAAAUGCGGGUCUGGAGCCACAGGAAUUCAGGAAUGGAGAUAGCACAAGGUGGUAAUAGGAGUCCCUGGAGGCAUAGGUGACCCCAGGGAGCACAGCAUCAGUGGAGAAUAGAAGGAAACAUGAGUUCAAAAGUCUUAGGAAAUAC